CUUCUGUAUAUCGACCUUGCUCCUUGUCCCAACUUGGGGACAGGGUUAAACCCCCUAUUGGCCUGGCAGGCGAUGGCACCCCUAUUUUUAAACCUGUCCCGGUUUAUUCUCUGUAUAUGUACUUUUUUGGUAAAAACCUUCUCUAGUCUGUAUCUAAAGAGAAGGAAGAAGGCUAGGAACAUCGUAGGUAGCGAUUUCCAUCGUACUCCGACCAAUGGCUUCGACCUGGCAUUCUCUCUCGACCUCUACUCACCACCACCAGACAAACCUAAUCGUCACCAUCUCCCGCUCUUACUCCCCUAUCUCAUCUGCUCCACCACCGCGCUCCUCCUCUGUUCUUCGCAUUUGGUUCCUCUUUGUUGCAGCAUCCAUUUGACAAAUGAAACCCCUAAGAAACCCAGAAGAUUAAGCCGUAACUCUCUCUCGUUCCGUUAGAACUCCCAUUUCCUUAUCGUAGCAGCAAGAUCUCUGUUAAGAUUCUAUAUUUAUUGUUUUGGUUUUGGGAUCUCAUUUAUUACUUAAUUGUAAUAUUACAAGUACAUUUUCUUUGUAUCAAGUCUGCUAAUGGUAAUUUUCACUUUCGAUCAACAUUAUUUUUUUUGCUACGUUUUUAAUUAAGAUUUAUAUAUUUUUUAAUUUCCCAUUAAUGCUCUCAACAUUUAUAGUCUAGAAAUAAUCACUUCAGCAAUUGUUAGUAGGAAAAAAAAAAGAGAGAUUAAUCGUUUAAAUGAGUGGCUGGUUGCAGAAAGUAGGUCCCUACUUGGCCAUAUAUCUAUGGGCUUCUAUGCUUGUUCUGUCACUUGUCACGGUGACCUUGUUAUUGAAGGUAUCAUUAGUUGAUUUCAUCAUAUUGUCCGUAAAUUGAAUCCUACGUUCUCUUCCUUUACAACUCUAACCUUGGAAAAGUCUUAGUUUAACGUACUUUUAAUUAAUUUGUAUGUAUAACGGCUAAUGUUAUUCCAAAUAAAUCGUUGUGUUGGCAGAUAUCUGGUUAUCUACCUAUAGUUAUAAAUUUUGUCUGAAUGAUGUAUGUAUAUAAAGUCAUAUAUGAUAAAAGUUGAUUGAUUUCUUGAGGUGGAUACAUAAUAGUUAGCUUUAAACUUUGUUCAAGUGUGUUCAUAUGCCUGGGAUUGACCAUCUUGUUCCAAAACUUAAAAAGCCCCUUUCAGAUUCAGAAUUUUGAUCCUAUUGCAACUUGAUAACUCUGGAAUAUGAAUUUGUAAAUAAUUUAGAUUUAGAAAUCCUCAACAGCAAGUAGAGAAUGUAAAUUAGAAUACCUAAAACCCUCUUAUUGGAGUCCAAUGAGGCUUUUUUGUACUACACUUUUCAAAUUUUUAGCAUAAUUGGUGAAGUUUACGACUUUGUAACUUUUCACUUGUCGUCCUUCUUUACUCUGGAUAUCACAAAAUUACUUAUUAUUUCCUAUUUUAUCUUGAUAUGUCUCCUAAGUUCUGCAGGAUGUGUUCAAUCUACUUCCGUAUUUCAACGUGUUUGAACUAAUUAAAGUUGUUUUAGGUAAAUUAGCUGGUGGUCAAUUGUUAUUUACAUUUUUUCUCCUUGUUGACAACUGCAUUCUGCAUUAGGAUUCAUGUGGCCUACAUAUUAAUAUUCCUGGGCACCAAGUAGCAUUAACAUGACCGUGAAAGCAUUUUCUUCAAAUAUAUAGUGUUUUUUCUCCUUAAAUUUGAAUUCUAAUUGCUUCAUUUGAAUAAAUUGAAGCAUCAAGUAGGUAGUAGCACGUACUCAUUGAAGCCUCAAAGUGGAAAGUUGAAAGUAUUGUUCAACUCUUUUUUUUUUUUUUUUUCAUGAAUUUCAAUUACAAAUUCCUUGUCCGAGUUAACUGCAGCAUCAAGUAAAUAUUAAUACGAGCCACAAAAGAAGGAUUGGAAAUUUAGCUUGUGUGUUGUUUCCUGAACUUCAAUUGCAUUUAAUCUAAUUAAGUGAUUCUUUUUGACACUGAAUUGUGAAGUCAACAUUACUAUAGACAUAAAAGUUGGACUGGCUUGAGACAUCACGUUUCAACAAUGAUCAUUUCCUUCAGAACUUAAAGAGUAGGUGAACAUUUAUAAAUUAGUGAAAUAAGAUUUUUAAGGAUGUUAAUAAUUUUUUAUUGAUUUCUCUUGGCUCUUGCAUCUAUUAUUAUGAGUACUAUUUUUUCAAGAACAUUGUUUCAUAAAUAAUUCGGCUAAAACUGGCUUCUUGCAGGGUUUUCUCCUGAAUGUAACUCCAUGUCAGUGGAUGUAAUAUGGAAAGCAUUUUAGGCAACAGAAGAGGGAUAUAUCGGUGGUUACUAAAAAAUGGUCAAUGAAAUCGCAAUUGGCUAAUAUUAGUUCCUGUUGACUGGUGGGUGAGAUUUGUGAUGGUAUUCUUUACAUUGCUAAUCUUGGUGAUUUCCGACAAGUGUCAGGAAGAGUUGUUAGAGCAACUGGAGAAGUUCUUGCUAUCUAGCUGUCGGUUGAAUAUAAUGCUACCAUAGAGUCAGUCAGACAGGCGUUGCAUUCUAUGGACCCAGUCACCCGAAUGACUUAAAGAUAGUAGUUCUUAAACAUAAUGUGCAGUGUGUGAAGGCUUGAUACAGGUCUGUUCUUUGCAUAGUUGGAAUGGGGUCCAAAUGCAUAAUUGAUUACAUUUCCAUGGAAGAAUUGACAACAUAAAUUGGCAUACGAUAAUGAUGCGACAUUACUUUAGUAGAUUCUUAUAAAAUGUUGUACAAUGGUGAAAAUUAGUUGAGCAUUUGUUGAAUUAUGUAACCUAAGCAACUAUCAUCCAACAUUACAAAGGUAAUAUGCCUCUGGCUUUCUGAUGCAUAUGUGCUGAUAAAAUAUAAGUUUCUUGUUUACGUUUUUAUAUAAUAUCUUUUUCCAUUUUGUGCUCAGGUCGAUUUUUCUUCGUUCGCAAAGAGCCAACAUCCAAGUAGUCUCCUUUGGUUCUGGUAAUUCACUAUCAAAAUGGUGGGAUAUGAUAGAGAUGUAUGCAAAUACUGCACUACUAAUCUUAUGCUUUGAAGGUUUCUUAUACAUUGCGCUUUUAUUCAUCACUAUUCUGCUAUUGUAGGAAUAUGAAAUUUAGAUCAGUAACAGGAUGGAGAGGAGCACGAGGAAUAGGGCUAUGAAGGUGUGUGCAAGCGAAUGGGAAUACGACUACGAAAAAUAUUAGCUAUCAUCUCGCAACUAAGCGAUAAGUGGGUCUUUAGGCUUCUACGAAAUCAUGCUUACGUAUCUUUCAUGCUUGUUUGCAGUUGUUUGUUGUCAUAUUUCUUUUAAUUUAUUUUCCUUUUUCCAAAGUGAAAUACACUUGAUUUUUAUUUAUAUAGAUUUUCCAACAAUAACACAAUGACCAUGUAAUGAAGAUGCAUCCACCAGAUGUUCAUAGCUUAGACAAGUUGAUUAGAGACAAGCACAAGAUGCUUCACAUGUUGCUGCCCUUGUCCUAAAUGACACUCUAAUGUAAUUUUUUCUCUCUCUCUUUUUCUUUUUUAUUACUACGCUCCUGCAAACAAGUGCAAUAGUUUAUGUUUAUGUUUAAAUUCUUAAUUCAACUUUGUCUUCCAAUUGGAAAAGCU
rnacentral:lncRNA from 1 species